rnacentral:tRNA from 1 species
CCGGAGAUGGCAGAGCGGUCAAAUGCACCAGACUGUAAAUCUGGCGUCCUCUGGACUACGGGGGUUCGAAUCCCUCUCUCCGGACCA